AUAACUCAGGCACUUUGGACACGGUGGGUGCUGUGGUUGUGGACCAAGAAGGAAACGUUGCUGCUGCUGUCUCCAGUGGAGGCUUGGCCUUGAAACAUCCAGGGAGAGUUGGGCAGGCUGCACUUUAUGGAUGUGGCUGCUGGGCUGAAAAUACUGGAGCUCAAAAUCCCUAUUCCACAGCUGUGAGUACCUCAGGAUGUGGAGAGCAUCUCGUGCGCACCAUACUGGCUAGAGAAUGUUCACACGCUUUACAAGCUGAAGAUGCUCACCAAGCUCUGUUGGAGACUAUGCAAAACAAGUUU